UCUUCAUGCUAAGUUAAGCUAACCAGCUGCUGGCUCUAACUUCAUAUUUACAGACAUGAGAGUGGUAUCAAUUUUCUCAUCUCACUCUCGGCAGGAAAGCGAUUAAGCGUAAUUUCCAAAAAUAUUCAAGCAUUUUAAUUAUGGGAUGAGUCAUCAACCCCAUUAAAAAGAUGGAAAUAUACUCCUGCACAUCAUCAGGGGAUCCCAGGACCACAGGAACUCGCUGGUGGAUGUUGGUGGGCUGGAUGUCGAGAAUGUUCAUGGAUCCUGUAGUGGCUAUGCCUCCUGCCUGCUCCAUGAUGAAGGCCAUGGGGUUGCAUUCAUACAGCAGCCUCAGCUGGAAGGCAAGAAGUAGAAAUUGGUGUGACUUCAUACAAGGACAAAAGGACUUUUGACAUUGGCAGGGUACAAAAAGAUCCCUCCAUAC